UACGUAGGGCGCAAGCGUUAUCCGGAAUUAUUGGGCGUAAAGGGCUCGUAGGCGGUUUGUCGCGUCGGGAGUGAAAACACCGGGCUUAACUCGGUGCUUGCUUUCGAUACGGGCAGACUAGAGGCAUGCAGGGGAGAACGGAAUUCCUGGUGUAGCGGUGAAAUGCGCAGAUAUCAGGAGGAACACCGGUGGCGAAGGCGGUUCUCUGGGCAUGUCCUGACGCUGAGGAGCGAAAGUGUGGGGAGCGAACAGG
rnacentral:rRNA from 1 species